rnacentral:lncRNA from 1 species
GCGUUGCAAAGGUUUGUGGAUUCUGUCUUUGAAUAAAAUUGUCUUGUGUAUAACUUAGAGCCGCCUUCAGUAUCUUCUAACAUUUUCUUGUGUAUAACUUGGAGCCGCCUUCAGUAUCUUCUAACAUUGUCUUGUGUAUAACUUGGAGCCGCCUUCAGUAUCUUCUAACAUUGUCUUGUGUAUAACUUGGAGCCGCCUUCAGUAUCUUCUAACUUUCACUAUGAAUGAGCCAUUAUUUAGUGUUGUUUUACUUAAUCCUAUGUUUUAGUUUAUUCAUUAAAGCUUGAUGCUAAUAAAUGUUUUAUGAUCUUUGGUCGGAUUGUUGUCUCUUUGACACAUUCACCAUUUCCAAUUUCAAUUUGAUUCUAUUAUAAAAUGUAGAUAUUAUUAAAGUGUUAAAGCGGUACAGACACGGGUACAGAGAUUUGAAAUAACAUUACUUUAAUUGUGAGUUCUUCCUUUCCAC